UACGUAGGGGGCAAGCGUUGUCCGGAAUUAUUGGGCGUAAAGAGCUCGUAGGUGGCCUGUCGCGUCGGCUGUGAAAACUCGAGGCUCAACCUCGAGACGUCGGUUGAAACCGUAUGGCUAGAGUCCGGAAGAGGAGAGUGGAAUUCCCGGUGUAGCGGUGAAAUGCGCAGAUAUCGGGAAGAACACCCGUGGCGAAGGCGGCUCUCUGGGACGGUACUGACGCUGAGACGCGAAAGCGUGGGGAGCGAACGGG
rnacentral:rRNA from 1 species